rnacentral:sRNA from 1 species
GUCAACGACCCCCGACUAAAGUCGGAGGCUUCCAGCCUUGAGUUGACCAGACUCAGUGAAACUUCAACCUAGAUACCUCAUCAGGCAAUACGUUUAAAUAACUAAAGUCAGUGCCUGUACCUAUAUAGAUAUGAAUAAAGUCAAUCAAAGGCCAAAAAUAAAUGUGAUUUCUAUGAACCUUGAUUGUCUACUUGAAAUUGUUGACAGCAA